rnacentral:tRNA from 1 species
GCCUUUGUGGUGUAGUGGUCAGCACGCUCGGCGCGUAUUCGAGAGGUCCGUGGUUCGAUUCCCGACGAAGGCG